GAUGAACGCUGGCGGCGUGCCUAAUACAUGCAAGUCGAGCGAACGGACGAGAAGCUUGCUCCUCUGACGUUAGCGGCGGACGGGUGAGUAACACGUGGAUAACCUACCUAUAAGACUGGGAUAACUUCGGGAAACCGGAGCUAAUACCGGAUAAUAUAUUGAACCGCAUGGUUCAAAAGUGAAAGACGGUCUUGCUGUCACUUAUAGAUGGAUCCGCGCUGCAUUAGCUAGUUGGUAAGGUAACGGCUUACCAAGGCAACGAUGCGUAGCCGACCUGAGAGGGUGAUCGGCCACACUGGAACUGAGACACGGUCCAGACUCCUACGGGAGGCAGCAGUAGGGAAUCUUCCGCAAUGGGCGAAAGCCUGACGGAGCAACGCCGCGUGAGUGAUGAAGGACUUCGGAUCGUAAAACUCUGUUAUUAGGGAAGAACAUAUGUGUAAGUAACUGUGCACAUCUUGACGGUACCUAAUCAGAAAGCCACGGCUAACUACGUG
rnacentral:rRNA from 1 species